UCCGUUAUUUCCGCAUGCUCC
rnacentral:miRNA from 1 species